UAAUACGGAGGGCGCAAGCGUUGUUCGGAAUUACUGGGCGUAAAGCGCGUGUAGGCGGCCUGACAAGUCGGGUGUGAAAUCCCGGAGCUCAACUCCGGAACUGCAUCCGAUACUGCCAGGCUCGAGUCUCGGAGAGGAUGGCGGAAUUUCCGGUGUAGAGGUGAAAUUCGUAGAUAUCGGAAGGAACACCAGUGGCGAAGGCGGCCAUCUGGACGAUGACUGACGCUGAGACGCGAAAGCGUGGGGAGCAAACAGGAUUAGAUACCCUGGUAGUCCACGCCGUAAACGUUGGGUGCUAGACGUCGGGGGUAUUGACCCCUUCGGUGUCGAAGCUAACGCAUUAAGCACCCCGCCUGGGGAGUACGGCCGCAAGGCUA
rnacentral:rRNA from 1 species